rnacentral:tRNA from 1 species
ACUCUUAAUAGUUUAUAAAAACACUGGUCUUGUAAACCAAAGAAUGAAGAUUAUAGCCCUUCUUAGAGUU